ACUUGGAUAGCUUAAAUUUAAAGCUUAAUAUUGAAGAUAUUAAAAUGGAUAUUUAUCCUUCAAGUA
rnacentral:tRNA from 1 species